rnacentral:lncRNA from 1 species
GUUCAAGUAUGCAAAGGGGCAGGCUUAUCACAUAAGUUAUGCACAAAAGGAAGAAAAGGUAAAGUUAAAGGAGACAGUAAUUGUAUUUUGCCUACAAGGGUUCAAGCUAGGAAGGUUGCCAAAAUAGUUUCUAAAUGAAGUACAAAGCUUUAUUUUGGAAUAUUAGGUCUGUUAAUACUCUACAAGCAUUUCACAGAGUUCAAAUGCUCCACAAACAUCAUAAGUUUUUGUUGAGGGCAUUAAUGGAGCCAUUUCAAAAUUCUAGGCAUAUUCAGAGAUACAAAAGAAGAUUGGGGAUGCACUACGUCAACUACAAUGUGAAUGGUCAAAUUUGGGUGUUUGUGAAGCAACACGUUCAUGUAGGAGUUAUAGCUGACUCGGAGCAACAGUUAACUUUACAACUCACUCUGGAAAAUGGGGAGCAACUUUUGGUAUCUGUUGUAUAUGCAAAAUGUUCUGCUAUUGAGAGACUUUCUCUCUGGGAUGAGAUAUUCACAAUAAGCCAAGAAUAUGUUGUCCCCUGGAUGAUCGGGGGUGAUUUUAAUGUGAUAUUGCGUGAAGAAGAAAAGAUUGGUGGUUUACCAGUAUAUCCCCAGGAGUAUGAAGAUUUUGCUGAAUGUUUAAAUGCAAGUGGUUUGGCUGAUAUUACUUUCUCAGGAAACCCUUUCACCUGGUGGAAUGGUAGGGUAGAUGGGGAAUGCAUUUUUAAGAGAUUGGAUAGGGUAGUGGUGAAUAAUUAUUUCUGGAUUCAUAUGGCAAUUCAUGGGUACAACAUUUGGCUAGGACUGGGUCUGAUCAUGCCCCACUCCUGCUUACUUGUGGAGCCAGUAAAGGUACUAUUGUCAAACCUUUUAGGUUUCUCAAGUUUUGGACUGAAAGAGAGGAUUUUAAAGAAGUGGUGGAGCAGAACUGGGUGGCUGAGAGUUCAGAUGAUAUUUUUGUACAGCUUAAGCAGAAACAGAAGAGGACCAAGAAGGCUUUAGCCAAGUGGAGUAAAGAAAAAUUUGGGGAUAUUUUUUAACAAUUAGCAAUUAGAGAAGAGAUUGUGAAAUUGAAGAAGCAACUAUUUCUUGACGAUCCAUCACCCGCUAAUAGAAGUAUUCUUCAGAAGGCUUAUGCAGAGCUGAAGGUUUAUUUACACUUUGAAGAAGUGUUCUGGAGACAAAAAGCUAGUGUGCAGUGGUUUGAGGAAGGGGACAGGAACACUAAAUUUUUUUCACAGUUUAGUGAGAGGAAGAAGAAAGAGGCUUACAUGAGGAGAAUAAUUAAAUCUGAUAGCUCAUGGGAUGAAUCAAAAAAUGCGAUUGCAGAAGAAGGGGUUAAUUUUUUACCAAAUAAUUUACUGCAGGGGUUAAUCAUUCUGACCUAUCUCUACUAAUGCAUAUUAAUCCUAUAAUCUCACAAAAGGAAAAUGAUAUAUUGACCAAGUUACCUGAUGAGGCUGAGAUCAAGAGGUUAGUAUUUGAGUUAAAUGCAGAAAGCUCUUGUGGACCAGAUGAUUUUUCUGGUUGUUUUUAUCAAAACUGUUGGGACACUGUUGGUUUAGAUGUGAUAAAAGUAGUUUCAGGCUUUCUUCAAAGGAGCUACUUUACCUAAGUCUAUUACUCAUACUAACUUGGUGCUAUUACCUAAAAAGGAUUUUCCUCAAUCCUUUUCUGAUCUUAGACCUAUUAGCUUGAGUAAUUUCCUUAAUAAAAUCAUAUCUAGAUUGGUGCAUGAUAGAAUGGAGGUGUUGUUUCCUAGAUUGAUAUCCCAGAAUCAAUCUGAAUUUGUCAAAGGAAGAAAUAUUAAUGAAAAUGUAUUGAUGGCUCAAGAAUUUGUUACUGAUAUUAGGUUGAGGGGCAAACCAGAUAAUGUGAUUAUCAAGCUUGACAUGGCAAAGGCGUAUGACAAGGUUGAUUGGAGAUUUUUGAUUAAAGUAAUGGAAAAAAUGGGUUUUAAUUCUAUGAUGCUUGACAUGAUUUGGAGAAUUAUUGCUAAUAAUUGGUACUUUGUAUUGAUUAAUUGUCAAGCACAUGAUUUUUUCCAUUCAUCAAGAGGGGUUAAACAAGGAGAUCCUUUGUCUCCUGCUUUGUUUAUACUUACUGUUGAGGUAUUAACGAGAACUCUAAAUCAUCUAUUCCUAGAAGAGGAAUAUAAAGGAUAUGGCCUUUCUAAAUGGAGUGAACAGUUGAAUCACUUAUCUUAUGCUGAUGAUACAAUUAUUUUUGCCUCUACUGAUAGGAGUUCUCUCCAGUUGAUAAUGCACACAUUGAAAAUGUAUGAACAUCAAUCAGGACAACUUAUAAACAAAGAAAAAAGUGUAUUUUACUUGUUUAACAAAGUUGCUCUUAACUCUGUUCAAAUGGCGGAGGAAAUCACAGGUUUCUGCAAAUGGAGUUUUCCUUUAACUUAUUUGGGUUGUCCUAUUGGUCAUGCUAAGAAGAAGAAGAUUCAUUUCAAAGAGCUCAUCAAGAAGAUUCAAAAUAAACUCGAAAUGUGGAAAGGGAAACUUCUAUCUUAUGGGGGCAAAUCAGUGUUGAUUAACCACGUAUUGCAGAGUAUUCCUAUCUGCCUCCUCUCAGCUAUCACGCCUCCUAAAUGUGUCAUUGAUGAUAUUCAUAAGAUUUUUGCAAAAUUCUUGUGGAAUUCUAAAGAACAAGGAAUAGCCACUCAUUGGGUAGCAUGGGGGGGAUAUUUGUCUGCCCAAGGAGGAAGGAGGUUUAGGUUUUAGAUCUUUAUUUGAUGUCUCCAAAUCUUUACUUGCCAAGUUGUGGUGGAAUUUUAGAACCAAAAAUACCAUGUGGACAAAUUUUAUGUGGAAUAAGUAUUGUAAAAGACAAAGGCCACAAUUGGUGGACUGGAAAAAAGGAUCUCAAGUUUGGAAAGCUAUGUUACAAGCUAGGGAUUUCUUUGAUCAAGAGAUCUGGUGGGAACCUAGAGAAUGACAUACUAGUGUGUGGUUUAAUAACUGGACACAACUGGGUGCUUUGCAUUUUUUGAUGCUUAUAUCACAUAACCAAAGUCAACUGGAAGAUGUCAAGGAACUAUAUGUUGAAGAUGGAUGGAAGAUUAAUGCACUGGAAAGUAAUUUCAAUGAGGAUAUAUGCAAUCACAUAUGCAAUACCUUAGGAAGCUUUACUAAUACUGAAGGAAGAGAUAAAGCAUGGUGAAUGACUAGUAGUGAUGGUAAAUUCAAAAUUAGCUCAGCCUGGGAAUUAUGCAGAAGUAGAGGAGAGUAUAUAGAAAAUAUCUCCAAUAUUUGGGAGAAAGGUUUGCAUUUUAAGGUAUCCUUUUUUAUGUGGAGAUUAUGGUUUAGAAGGAUUCCUAUUGGGGAGGUCUUAAUUAGAAGGAACAUAGUUGAGAGGGUUGAUUGUAGCUGCUGCAAUAAUAGUGCUCCUGAAACUUUCUCUCAUCUAUUUGUCUAUUGUCCUAGUGCUCAAUCUGUUUGGAAAACUUUUAGAAAUGCUGCAGGGUUAUCAUUUCCAAUUAAUCAGCUUCAACAGAUUAUGGAAGAUUGGUGGAAAGCUGAUGGUACGUAGUCCUAAAUUGAAGCAAUUGUUUAAAGUAGUUCCUGCUUUCAUAACUUGGGAAAUUUGGAAGAGGGGGAAUGUGAUGAAGCAUGGUGGAAAUAUGUCAACAACCUCAAUGAUUGUAGAGAUACAUAGAAACAUCUACUUAUUUACUAAGAGUUGAUAUCCAUGGUUAAAGAAUGUCCCUCAAAACUGGCCCUUAAUUGUCAAAUAUUUUGAAGGAUAAGCUCCAUUGACAAAAACUAUGGUGGUGAGAGUCAUCCCCUCAUGGGAGUAUAUAAAUGCAAUACUGAUGCUUCUUAUCAGCUUGAAUCAAGAGUUGGGUGUAUAGCCUUUUGUAUUAGAGAUAUACAAGGAGAUUUGAAAUAUGCAGAAUCUAGAAGAAUUAAUACUACAUCUAUUUUGGAGGCAGAGGUCAUGGCAAUUAAGGAAGGGUUACAGUACUGCAAUCAAGGAAAUUUCCUUCCCUUGAUAAUUGAGCCAGACUCACUGGUGGCUCAAAAAGUUAUACAUGGAGUAUGGGAGGUCCCAUGGCAGAUAGCUUGGGAUAUCAAACACAUUCAGACAAUGAUAAAGAGUCAUGGGGUGGAGGUGGUUCACGUCCUCAGAGAAGGGAAUAGCCUCGCUGAUGCUUUAACUAAGUCGUUUGCUCAUUUUGCAGGUACAGAGAUACAACAAUAUCGAAAUAUGCAGGAACUACCACAACAUGCCAAAGCUAUUUUGCAACAAGACAAAGAAAAGACUCCUAAUUUGAGGAUCCGAAAAGUUCAAAACAAACAUUAUAAUGGUGCUUAAAAAAGAAAAAAAGAAGAAAAAGGAGCACCACAUCAGUUCAAAGCAAAUCAGGAGAGGACUAAAAUAAGAAGGUGAAAGAUUACCUUAGUCUCCUGGAAAAGGGUGAGCGAUGCAAGGUCGGAGAUUAGUCGACUUAAACAGUGGUAUUAAUCUCGGUGGGGUUCAACCUGUUGAGGAGAAUAAUCAAGGACCGAGUAUCAAAACAUAUCUCAAAGAUGAGUAAUUAAAUUAUAAAGGUAAAACUUAUCUCAAUAGCUCUUGUCUUCAAAUCUGGAUGGUGACUGAAGUGUGUCCCCAAAAUUCUUGCGCAUAACUUGAGAUCUAGCUCAGAUCGAUAAAAUUCAGGUAGAAGAAGUCUUCAAAGGUAUUUGAAUCAUUAUAUCAGUGAGAUUUGUUGAUGUGGAAGUGAUUGCAACCCAUACCUGGAUCGAUAUCGAACAGAGCUCAUAUCAAGAGGAGGUGAGUAUUUGGAAGGAUUGAUCGUCACUUUGGGAGGAUUCUCC